AGAGAGAGAGAGAGAGAAACAUAUUUACCGAGAUGAUUGGCGGCGUCGGAGAGAGGGAGAGAGAAAUAUUUGGAGAUAUCAUCGAACGAGAGCGAUUUCGUCGAUGUCGAAAUCGAACUCGAAGCUGCCGCCUUUGAUAUCGAAGAAUUAUUGUGCAGCGACAGUGAACUCAUCAUUUUUAUUUAUUUUUAAUCUUAUUUAUUUAUUUACCACGCACUCUUCAUAGCCGCCGUAGUGGUUUAAACUUUAAAAUGCAGAAAGAAGAAAGAAAGUCCUCUGUCAGUCAGUCACUGUUAAGCGGAAACUCGAUAAUAACGGGUCGGGUACUUGGGUUUGCCCGACUCCUCAAGUUCCUUACUUCACUUAUCCUCAGCACGCCGGAUUCUAACCCGAAAACCGGUUUACGGUACAUUAUUUACGCUACUGGUGUCGUUUAUUCACCGUUUAAUAAAGAGUUAUAAAAUUUUGGACUUAUUUUCUUUAAAUACACGCAUCUUUUUUUUU
rnacentral:lncRNA from 1 species